AUUGAACGCUGGCGGCAUGCCUUACACAUGCAAGUCGAACGGUAACAGGUCUUCGGAUGCUGACGAGUGGCGAACGGGUGAGUAAUACAUCGGAACGUGCCUAGUAGUGGGGGAUAACUACUCGAAAGAGUGGCUAAUACCGCAUGAGAUCUACGGAUGAAAGCAGGGGAUCGCAAGACCUUGUGCUACUAGAGCGGCCGAUGGCAGAUUAGGUAGUUGGUGGGAUAAAAGCUUACCAAGCCGACGAUCUGUAGCUGGUCUGAGGGGACGAUCAGCCACACUGGGACUGCGACACGGCCCAGACUCCUACGGGAGGCAGCAGUGGGGAAUUUUUGACAAUGGGCGCAAGCCUGAUCCAGCAAUGCCGCGUGCAGGAUAAAGGCCUUCGGGUUGUAAACUGCUUUUGUACGGAACGAAAAGCCCCGGGUUAAUACCCUGGGGUCAUGACGGUACCGUAAGAAUAAGCACCGGCUAACUACGUGCCAGCAGCCGCGGUAA
rnacentral:rRNA from 1 species